rnacentral:lncRNA from 1 species
UUCCCUCGUUUUUAACUCAACUACUAGAUAACUUCUCUUAAUUCCCGCCCUUGUUUCCCUCCAUAUUCCCUCUUCUCCCAUUUUGUGCGUAAGAAACUUCCACUUUCACACCUUUAUAUUCACGAUUUUGUGCCUCUUGAAGAUAUGAAAUUCCUGGUGAGUAUAUUAUACUUAGUUUAUUUAUUUUGUUUUGUUUGGAGUAAAAAAAAAAAAAAGAUCUUUUGAGGCUCUAGAUUGGGUUUGUUGGAUAGUUUCGGGACAAUUUUUUGUAUCAUCUUCAUCUUCUAUCUGAUGUUUAGUUCCUAUUCAUAUUUGAUUCACCUCUCUCUCUUUGCUGGAAUAAUUUCAUUAGUAUUCCCAGUUGACAGUACAAACUGCCCAGAUUCACCUUCAAAUUCCCCAAACGAUUUCAUAGAUUGAAAAGGGAUAUCAUAUACGGAGGUGUUUAAGGUUACUAACGGGUGUUUAACCAUAAUAGACUUCAUCAUCAUUUCAUUCUGGGCAUCCUUGAUUAUUUUUUCUACAUUCGGAUUGGAAAAAUGCAGCGUAGGAGCAUUGGAACUAUGUGCUUCUUGCCUUUUGUGCAUCAACAGGAACAAUGUCAUUUGAAAUAGUUAGUCGACCACCUGUGUUUUUGGGAAUUGUGCUUCUGCCUUUUGUGCAUCAACAAGAACAAUGUCAUUUGAAAUAGUUAGUCGACCACCUGUGUUUUUGGGAAUUUGCUGCUGUGUGUUACUGCCUGGGGCUUGUGGUUGCCCAUUUUUUGGAGUUGUGUUCAUCAUCAUAGCUGUCUGGGCAUUCUCUACCAUUUUAGUUAGAUCUGUAUUUGAAAUGUUCAUUGUUGAUGUAGGAUCACCAUGUACUUGACUUGCCUCACCAAUGUAAUUAUCAACAAUUGCAAUCUCAGGUCGAUCAUCUAUGUCCUUUUCAUUUAUCUGUUGCUUUUCACUACUUGUGGAGCUGUUUUUUGCAACUACUGAUCCUGUAUCAUCACCCAUCUGUUGCUCCCUAUUUUCAGCCUCCUUCACAACAUACUCUCCCUCAUUCACCAAAGCAUCAAAAGAAU